rnacentral:rRNA from 1 species
AUUUGGUCGUAGACCCGAAACCAGGUGAUCUACCCUUGGUCAGGUUGAAGUUCAGGUAACACUGAAUGGAGGACCGAACCGACUUACGUUGAAAAGUGAGCGGAUGAACUGAGGGUAGCGGAGAAAUUCCAAUCGAACCUGGAGAUAGCUGGUUCUCUCCGAAAUAGCUUUAGGGCUAGCCUCAAGUGAUGAUUAUUGGAGGUAGAGCACUGUUUGGACGAGGGGCCCCUCUCGGGUUACCGAAUUCAGACAAACUCCGAAUGCCAAUUAAUUUAACUUGGGAGUCAGAACAUGGGUGAUAAGGUCCGUGUUCGAAAGGGAAACAGCCCAGACCACCAGCUAAGGUCCCAAAAUAUAUGUUAAGUGGAAAAGGAUGUGGCGUUGCCCAGACAACUAGGAUGUUGGCUUAGAAGCAGCCAUCAUUUAAAGAGUGCGUAAUAGCUCACUAGUCGAGUGACACUGCGCCGAAAAUGUACCGGGGCUAAACAUAUUACCGAAGCUGUGGAUUGUCCUUUGGACAAUGGUAGGAGAGCGUUCUAAGGGCGUUGAAGCAUGAUCGUAAGGACAUGUGGAGCGCUUAGAAGUGAGAAUGCCGGUGUGAGUAGCGAAAGACGGGUGAGAAUCCCGUCCACCGAUUGACUAAGGUUUCCAGAGGAAGGCUCG